rnacentral:rRNA from 1 species
AGACCGAUAGCGAACAAGUAGAGUGAUCGAAAGGUUAAAAGCACCUUGAAAAGGGAGUUAAACAGCACGUGAAAUUGUUGAAAGGGAAGCGCUUGCGGCCAGACUCGGGGGCGGGGUUCAGCGGGUGCUCGUCGCCCGUGUAUUCCUCGUCUCCCGGGCCAGCAUCAGUUUCGACGGCCGGUCAAAGGCCCCCGGAAUGUGUCGUCUCUCGGGACGUCUUAUAGCCGGGGGUGCAAUGCGGCCCGUCGGGACUGAGGAACGCGCUCCGGCUCGGAUGCUGGCGUAAUGGCCGUAAGCGGCCCGUCUUGAAACACGGACCAAG